rnacentral:rRNA from 1 species
AUACGUAGGUGACAAGCGUUAUCCGGAUUUACUGGGCGUAAAGGGCGUGUAGGCGGUCUUGCAAGUCAGAAGUGAAAUUCCUGAGCUCAACUCGGGCGCUGCUUCUGAAACUGCAGGACUUGAGUGCUGGAGGGGAUAGCGGAAUUCCUAGUGGAGCGGUAAAAUGCGCAGAUAUUAGGAAGAACACCGGUGGCGAAGGCGGCAAUCUGGACAGUAACUGACGCGGAGGCGCGAAAGCGUGGGGAGCAAACAGGAUUAGAUACCCGGGUAGUCCACGCCGUAAACGAUGAAUACUAGGUGUAGGGGGUAUCGACUCCCUCUGUGCCGCAGUUAACACAAUAAGUAUUCCGCCUGGGGAGUACGGCCGCAAGGUUGAAACUUAAAGGAAUUGACGGGG